GACGAACGCUGGCGGCGUGCUUAACACAUGCAAGUCGAACGGAAAGGCCCUGCUUUUGUUGGGUGCUCGAGUGGCGAACGGGUGAGUAACACGUGAGUAACCUGCCCUUGACUUUGGGAUAACUUCAGGAAACUGGGUAUAAUACCGGAUAGGAGCUCCUGCUGCAUGGUGGUGGAUGGAGAGUUUCGGCGGUUGGGGAUGGACUCGCGGCUUAUCAGCUUGUUGGUGUGGUAGUUGCUUACCAAGGCUUUGACGGAUAGCCGGCCUGAGAGGGUGAACGGGCACAAUGGUACUGAGAUACGCCGCAGACGCCUACGGGAGGCAGUAGGGGGGAAUAUUGCACAAUAGGCGGAAGCCUGAUGCAGAAACGCUGGGUGCGGGAUGACGGGUUUCGGGGUGUAAACCGAUUUCGACUGUGACGAAGAGUGAGUGACGGUAAUGGGUAAAGAAGCACCGGCUAACUACGUG
rnacentral:rRNA from 1 species